CUCUCGCUCUCUCGCGCGCGCGCUCGCUCUCUCCACAGACAAAGACUGGGGCAGCAGUCCGCGUCCGAGAAGGGGAGGUCGAAAUGGACAAUGAUUCCCAGCAUGGCGCGGCACCAACAUGGUCUUCUAAAAGCGUCGGGCACGAUCUCAUGAGGACGGGGAUUAGAUCGUUUGCCGAUGUUCUGUUCGGUAGAAUGCCAACGAGAGAGGGAGGAGGAGUUCUGGUACCCCGUCCCGCAGGCGCAGCACAAUUCUACAGCUCACGGAUCAUGCCCUCGAAGCCGACCUCUGUCGGUGUCAUCGCGUCGGAUCUUCCAGUGGCGAUCUUUGUCGGCGUCGUGGAAGGCGACACGGCACAUCGUGAAGGUUUGGGCCUUUUCGGUUCCUCCAUUAAGCUGACGACGCUUUGUUGGUAAGCUAUCCGGUGAGCUCUCUUGGGAGGAGAAGGGAGGGAGGCUCCAGAGGGCGAAGAAAUCCCCCCCACCUAAUCCAAGAGAGAAGGGGAAGCAGCACACCAUGUGAGUGUGGGACGUCCGACGGGCCCAUGUCUCCCCACAGCUUUGCAGCAACAGCCAACAGAGCUGCUUGUCUUCACGGAUGCUGAUGGCCAUCACCUCAUCCGCUAGCUAGCUAGCUAGCUCUGAACUGGCUGUUGCAUGCAUCCCCAGAUUCCCAGGCAGCAGUGGCGGUAGGAGCGGUACUUCGUGGGAGCAUUCAUCCAUUGCCGUUCCUCUUUGUGUUUCCAUGACUGCGUCCUCCCAGUUGAGGAUAGAGGUCGAAGACCUUUUUCACCAUGACCGGCAUUGCAUGGCUGGAUUCCUCCAUGCGAUGGAGUGUGUCAUUGGGUCCACACGUUCAUCUCUUUUGCGAACGUCCUCUGUUCUCCAUCCAUGACAGAGGGUGCGACAGUGACUACUCCACCAUCCACACUGUCUUUAGUAGCUCGGUUUCGGUUCAGGUUGGGUCAGAUUUAGAAUCAGAAGGUUUCUAUUUCGAUUUUGAAGCAUGUAAUCUUUUUAAUUGAUUCCAUCAUAUGUUUAGAUUGUAUCUUCUCCUUCAUUUGGAUUUAGUUUCA